UACUCUUCUGAAUUCUGACUCAGAAAGCACAAGCACAGGAGUGAUUCUACACACACAUGCUCAUCUGGAAGUACUCUGUGAUUCUGUAUGGGGAAACUAAAUGUUACUUGUGUCCUCCAGUGCCUAGCUUGGUGCCUAGGACACGGCUGAGUGAAGUUAGAAUUUAAAAUCAAAAGGUAGAGAGAUGGAGCAAUUACAGUCUGUGAACAAACUCUUCAAUGGAGGGUGAAGAGCGGGAGAAUGUGCAUCUGAGGUCUGAUCUCAUCAGAUUUCAAGACUGGCUAAUUUAAACUGGCCAAAGGGAAGGAAGGAACAAGAGAAUGAAUUAGCUUGUUAUAGGUCAUCAAGGUCUAGGAAUGUCGUGUGUGUGUGUGUGUGUGUGUGUGUGUGUGUGUGUCUAAAUUUUACCAGAAGGAGAUUUAAAGAUUUGCAUUGAAGUUUUGUAAGGAGGAGGGAUUUAGAGAUCGCUGGCCCCUGAUGGACUUGGCAACUUUGAUAAAAAAGCAAACCAAAUGUUUCUUACACCUCCUGUUCUUUCAUGUUUGUUUUAAAAACUUAAAUCAACUCCUUAGCAUUAAAAGGCAUUUAGUUUGGCAAAACCAGCAGGAUUUUUUUUUCUUUCAAAAAUGUGUGCUUCAUUUUAGGGAAAUGUGUUUUAAAAUCAGAACCAAAAAGAUCAUGUAUACCCUUCCCUAAUAAAAGAGGCGAGGACUCCAUCUGUAUUGACAUAAUAACUCACAUGGUAGAAUCGAGGUUGCCUUGCCUGUGGGCAAGUUUUCAGAGUUCAGAGGAAAAUCUAUACAUUGAAGUUUUAAACUGUAAGGUUACAACAACAGGGAUUUGCAGUUGCUGUAGGUGGUCCCUAGCUGGGGAUUGAGAGUUCUUCUUUGAUGUAAAGAUGGAGAAACUGAGGCUCAGAGUUCAAACACAGGGUCAGAGUCAUGCCAUGCCAAGGUGAAGAUCUCCUCACGGUGGGUAUGGGAGAGGCGCCAUUCUCCUCACCGGUGGCAGUGGGAGAGGUGCCAUUCUCCUCACGGGUGGCAGUGGGAGAGGCGCGAUCCUCCUCACGGUGGGUGUGGGAGAGGCGUGCUUCAUCUGAAGAAAGGAAAGCAUUCUUCUCACAAGACUCAGGGAACCAGUGACAUUGUGAGCUUCAAAUCAGCUCUCCAGGGCCCCAGCACAGAAUGUCAGGGAGGGGACUCUGAACAGGUCUAUACCACCUUCGCUGAAACUACAGAUCCUUAUGAAGUCUAGCAAAGGAGACGACAGAAGAGUGACCACAGGGAGUUCUCAAUUCCUCACAUGGUUCAGCUUCUAUAAAAUGUCAUAUAUGGGGAUGAAGAGAUGGCUCAGCUGUUGAGAGUACAAACUGCUCUUGCAGGGGACCUGGGAUGAGUUCCUGGCUCACAAUCUUUACCCUCUGCUACAUCAGUUCCAGAGGAUCCAACACCUUGUCAGGUAUCUGAGGUUUUGCAAGGGCUGACCACUCUGCACUGGACAGCCAAUAAACCUCUUUCUAGCAAAUGGAAACCAUCACAGAAAACCACAACUGGACCCAAUGCAGAGAUGCACAGAUAGUGGAGAGCCCAACCCCGGCUCAGCACAGUGACCAACCAAGCCAAAUAUCUUCUUGAACUGGUACAUGAUGAAUGAAGAAUGUACGCUGAGAGCUCGUUGGAAGGAGAAAUGAAGAGAGAGGCCAGUUUUAGGCCAGCGUUUUCUGGAGCUGAGGAGGUCGAGUGCUGUUCGUCCUUUGGAUACCAAUUUAUCAUCAGCUGCAUGGCUCGAAUAUGUUUGUUCCCAUUACAUAAACUAUCUCUUUACUGU
rnacentral:lncRNA from 1 species